GCCGGAUUAGCUCAGUGGUAGAGCAACCGCCUUGUAAGCGGUAGGUCGUCGGUUCAACCCCGACAUCCGGCU
rnacentral:tRNA from 1 species